AUUGAACGCUGGCGGCAGGCCUAACACAUGCAAGUCGAGCGGAUGAGGGUAGCUUGCUAUCUGAUUCAGCGGCGGACGGGUGAGGAAUGCCUAGGAAUCUGCCUGGUAGUGGGGGACAACGUUUCGAAAGGAACGCUAAUACCGCAUACGUCCUACGGGAGAAGGUGGGGGAUCUUCGGACCUCCCGUUAUCAGAUGAGGCUAGGUAAGAUUAGUUAGUUGGUGAGGUAAAGGCUCACCAAGGCGACGAUCGUUAGCUGGUCUGAGAGGAUGAUGAGUCACACUGGAACUGAGACACGGUCCAGAUGCCUACGGGAGGCAGCAGUGGGGAAUAUUGGACAAUGGGCGAAAGCCUGAUCCAGCCAUGCCGCGUGUGUGAAGAAGGUCUUCGGAUUGUAAAGCACUUUAAGUUGGGAGGAAGGGCAGUAAGUUAAUACCUUGCUGUUUUGACGUUACCAACAGAAUAAGCACCGGCUAACUUCGUGCCAGCCGCCGCCGUAAAAC
rnacentral:rRNA from 1 species